rnacentral:rRNA from 1 species
AUUGAACGCUGGCGGCAUGCCUUACACAUGCAAGUCGAACGGCAGCGCGGGAGCAAUCCUGGUGGCGAGUGGCGAACGGGUGAGUAAUAUAUCGGAACGUGCCCAGUAGUGGGGGAUAGCCCGGCGAAAGCCGGAUUAAUACCGCAUGAGACCUGAGGGUGAAAGCGGGGGAUCGCAAGACCUCGCGCUAUUGGAGCGGCCGAUAUCAGAUUAGCUAGUUGGUGGGGUAAAGGCCUACCAAGGCAACGAUCUGUAGUUGGUCUGAGAGGACGACCAGCCACACUGGGACUGAGACACGGCCCAGACUCCUACGGGAGGCAGCAGUGGGGAAUUUUGGACAAUGGGCGCAAGCCUGAUCCAGCAAUGCCGCGUGCAGG